AGUAACGCGUGAGGAACCUGCCUCAAAGAGGGGGACAACAGUUGGAAACGACUGCUAAUACCGCAUAAGCCCACAGCUCGGCAUCGAGCAGAGGGAAAAGGAGCAAUCCGCUUUGAGAUGGCCUCGCGUCCGAUUAGCUAGUUGGUGAGGUGACGGCCCACCAAGGCGACGAUCGGUAGCCGGACUGAGAGGUUGAACGGCCACAUUGGGACUGAGACACGGCCCAG
rnacentral:rRNA from 1 species